AUACGGAGGGGGCUAGCGUUGUUCGGAAUUACUGGGCGUAAAGCGUACGCAGGCGGAUUGUUAAGUUAGAGGUGAAAUCCCAGGGCUCAACUCUGGAACUGCCUUUAAAACUGGCAAUCUAGAGGUAUGGAGAGGUAAGUGGAAUUCCUAGUGUAGAGGUGAAAUUCGUAGAUAUUAGGAGGAACACCAGAGGCGAAGGCGGCUUACUGGACAUAUACUGACGCUGAGGUACGAAAGUGUGGGGAGCGAACGGGAUUAGAAACCCCGGUAGUCC
rnacentral:rRNA from 1 species